CCUUUGACCAACCAUUAACUUUUGAACAUUAGCUAUUUGACCAAACAUUCCUUUGUCCAGACAUUAACUUACGCAAAUUGUGUAUUGCAGAACUUUGUGAAAUCAGGACUAAUGUUACUAGAUUAUUGUCUGGGUGGCUUUACUAGACAACAAGUGCAAGAUAAUAAAAGCAAGACGAGAACUGAUUUGAAAGUACAGAGAAGAGGGAUCAGUCUAGCCUGAUGUUUAUAAACUGCAUUGAGACUUCAGGAUGCCAGGAAUUCUGCUCUCAAACUCCUUUCUUGAGUAUUUACAACAUAAUCAUAUUUUGCAACUGCUAAGRGAUGAUUUUGGAGAAUUUUCUCUAAACCAAGGAAGAACAGCAUAAGAGCAUGACACUACUGGAUCUGCCAGCCGGCCUUUACAGAGUCUGCUUCACCCUUGCCGAAGCUCUGUAGUAUCCAAUGGUUUUGAUGACAGGAAUAGAGGUGAUACCUGAAGACACUCCUCAUCUCACUGCAGGUAAGGGCGCAGAGA
rnacentral:lncRNA from 1 species